UGAUGCAGCGACGCCGCGUGAGGGAUGACGGCCUUCGGGUUGUAAACCUCUUUCAGUAGGGAAGAAGCGAAAGUGACGGUACCUGCAGAAGAAGCGCCGGCUAACUACGUGCCAGCAGCCGCGGUAAUACGUAGGGCGCAAGCGUUAUCCGGAAUUAUUGGGCGUAAAGAGCUCGUAGGCGGUUUGUCGCGUCUGCUGUGAAAGACCGGGGCUCAACUCCGGUUCUGCAGUGGGUACGGGCAGACUAGAGUGCAGUAGGGGAGACUGGAAUUCCUGGUGUAGCGGUGAAAUGCGCAGAUAUCAGGAGGAACACCGAUGGCGAAGGCAGGUCUCUGGGCUGUAACUGACGCUGAGGAGCGAAAGCAUGGGGAGCGAACAGGAUUAGAUACCCUGGUAGUCCAUGCCGUAAACGUUGGGCACUAGGUGUGGGGGACAUUCCACGUUUUCCGCGCCGUAGCUAACGCAUUAAGUGCCCCGCCUGGGGAGUACGGCCGCAAGGCUAAAACUCAAAGGAAUUGACGGGGGCCCGCACAAGCGGCGGAGCAUGCGGAUUAAUUCGAUGCAACGCGAAGAACCUUACCAAGGCUUGACAUGAACCGGAAAGACCUGGAAACAGGUGCCCCGCUUGCGGUCGGUUUACAGGUGGUGCAUGGUUGUCGUCAGCUCGUGUCGUGAGAUGUUGGGUUAAGUCCCGCAACGAGCGCAACCCUCGUUCUAUGUUGCCAGCGCGUUAUGGCGGGGACUCAUAGGAGACUGCCGGGGUCAACUCGGAGGAAGGUGGGGACGACGUCAAAUCAUCAUGCCCCUUAUGUCUUGGGCUUCACGCAUGCUACAAUGGCCGGUACAAAGGGUUGCGAUACUGUGAGGUGGAGCUAAUCCCAAAAAGCCGGUCUCAGUUCGGAUUGGGGUCUGCAACUCGACCCCAUGAAGUCGGAGUCGCUAGUAAUCGCAGAUCAGCAACGCUGCGGUGAAUACGUUCCCGGGCCUUGUACACACCGCCCGUCAAGUCACGAAAGUUGGUAACACCCGAAGCCGGUGGC
rnacentral:rRNA from 1 species